rnacentral:rRNA from 1 species
AUUGAACGCUGGCGGCAGGCCUAACACAUGCAAGUCGAACGGUAACAGGAAGAAGCUUGCUUCUUUGCUGACGAGUGGCGGACGGGUGAGUAAUGUCUGGGAAACUGCCUGAUGGAGGGGGAUAACUACUGGAAACGGUAGCUAAUACCGCAUAACGUCGCAAGACCAAAGGGGGGGACCUUCGGGCCUCUUGCCAUCGGAUGUGCCCCGAUGGGAUUAGCUAGUAGGUGGGGUAACGGCUCACCUAGGCGACGAUCCCUAGCUGGUCUGAGAGGAUGACCAGCCACACUGGAACUGAGACACGGUCCAGACUCCUACGGGAGGCAGCAGUGGGGAAUAUUGCACAAUGGGCGCAAGCCUGAUGCAGCCAUGCCGCGUGUAUGAAGAAGGCCUUCGGGUUGUAAAGUACUUUCAGCGGGGAGGAAGGGAGUAAAGUUAAUACCUUUGCUCAUUGACGUUACCCGCAGAAGAAGCACCGGCUAACUCCGUG